rnacentral:rRNA from 1 species
UUAAGACUAGAUGGUGGAUCCCUACAUAGCGGGUGGGACCCACGGCGAAUGCUUCAUCAAGUCUUCAAAAAAGAAUAUAUACGAUUGCAUUGCAUAUACUAACGGAUGCGAUCAUACCAGCACUAAUGCACCGGAUCCCAUCAGAACUCCGCAGUUAAGCGUGCUUGGGCGAGAUAGUAGUAGGAUGGGUGACCUCCCGGGAAGUCCUCGUGUUGCAUCCCUCUUUUAUGUUUAACCUUUUUUUUUU